rnacentral:rRNA from 1 species
GACGAACGUUGGCGGCGUGCUUAACACAUGCAAGUCGAACGGAAAGGCCCUGCUUUUGUGGGGUGUUCGAGUGGCGAACGGGUGAGUAACACGUGAGUAACCUGCCCUUGACUUUGGGAUAACUUCAGGAAACUGGGGCUAAUACCGGAUAGGAGCUCCUGCUGCAUGGUGGGGGUUGGAAAGUUUCGGCGGUUGGGGAUGGACUCGCGGCUUAUCAGCUUGUUGGUGGGGUAGUGGCUUACCAAGGCUUUGACGGGUAGCCGGCCUGAGAGGGUGACCGGCCACAUUGGGACUGAGAUACGGCCCAGACUCCUACGGGAGGCAGCAGUGGGGAAUAUUGCACAAUGGGCGGAAGCCUGAUGCAGCAACGCCGCGUGCGGGAUGACGGCCUUCGGGUUGUAAACCGCUUUCGCCUGUGACGAAGCGUGAGUGACGGUAAUGGGUAAAGAAGCACCGGCUAACUACGUGCCAGCAGCCGCGGUGAUACGUAGGGUGCGAGCGUUGUCCGGAUUUAUUGGGCGUAAAGGGCUCGUAGGUGGUUGAUCGCGUCGGAAGUGUAAUCUUGGGGCUUAACCCUGAGCGUGCUUUCGAUACGGGUUGACUUGAGGAAGGUAGGGGAGAAUGGAAUUCCUGGUGGAGCGGUGGAAUGCGCAGAUAUCAGGAGGAACACCAGUGGCGAAGGCGGUUCUCUGGGCCUUUCCUGACGCUGAGGAGCGAAAGCGUGGGGAGCGAACAGGCUUAGAUACCCUGGUAGUCCACGCUGUAAACGGUGGGUACUAGGUGUGGGGUCCAUUCCACGGGUUCCGUGCCGUAGCUAACGCUUUAAGUACCCCGCCUGGGGAGUACGGCCGCAAGGCUAAAACUCAAAGGAAUUGACGGGGCCCCGCACAAGCGGCGGAGCAUGCGGAUUAAUUCGAUGCAACGCGUAGAACCUUACCUGGGUUUGACAUGGAUCGGGAGUGCUCAGAGAUGGGUGUGCCUCUUUUGGGGUCGGUUCACAGGUGGUGCAUGGCUGUCGUCAGCUCGUGUCGUGAGAUGUUGGGUUAAGUCCCGCAACGAGCGCAACCCUUGUUCACUGUUGCCAGCACGUUAUGGUGGGGACUCAGUGGAGACCGCCGGGGUCAACUCGGAGGAAGGUGGGGAUGACGACAAGUCAUCAUGCCCCUUAUGUCCAGGGCUUCACGCAUGCUACAAUGGCUGGUACAGAGAGUGGCGAGCCUGUGAGGGUGAGCGAAUCUCGGAAAGCCGGUCUCAGUUCGGAUUGGGGUCUGCAACUCGACCUCAUGAAGUCGGAGUCGCUAGUAAUCGCAGAUCAGCAACGCUGCGGUGAAUACGUUCCCGGG